rnacentral:rRNA from 1 species
UACGGAGGGGGCUAGCGUUGUUCGGAAUUACUGGGCGUAAAGCGCGCGUAGGCGGCUUUGUAAGUUAGAGGUGAAAGCCCGGAGCUCAACUCCGGAACUGCCUUUAAGACUGCAUCGCUAGAAUCAUGGAGAGGUGAGUGGAAUUCCGAGUGUAGAGGUGAAAUUCGUAGAUAUUCGCAAGAACACCGGUGGCGAAGGCGGCCAACUGGUCCGGAUCUGACGCUGAGGCGCGAAAGCGUGGGGAGCAAACAGG